rnacentral:rRNA from 1 species
AGGGUGCAAGCGUUAAUCGGAAUAACUGGGCGUAAAGGGCAUGCAGGCGGUUCUGCAAGUAGGGUGUGAAAGCCCGGGGCUCAACCUCGGAAUUGCACUCUAAACUGUGGGACUAGAGUAUUGCAGGGGGAGACGGAAUUCCAGGUGUAGCGGUGGAAUGCGUAGAGAUCUGGAAGAACACCAAAGGCGAAGGCAGUCUCCUGGGCAAAUACUGACGCUCAUAUGCGAAAGCGUGGGUAGCAA